GGGUGGUUAGCUCAGUUGGGAGAGCGACGGCCUUACAAGCCGUAGGUCACAGGUUCGACCCCUGUACCACCCA
rfam:Teredinibacter turnerae T7901, complete genome.